CCGGACCGGCGCACGGGUGAGUAACGCGUAUGCAACUUACCUAUCAGAGGGGGAUAACCCGGCGAAAGUCGGACUAAUACCGCAUGAAGCAGGGAUCCCGCAUGGGAAUAUUUGCUAAAGAUUCAUCGCUGAUAGAUAGGCAUGCGUUCCAUUAGGCAGUUGGCGGGGUAACGGCCCACCAAACCGACGAUGGAUAGGGGUUCUGAGAGGAAGGUCCCCCACAUUGGUACUGAGACACGGACCAAACUCCUACGGGAGGCAGCAUG
rnacentral:rRNA from 1 species